CAGGCAACGAGCGAGACCCACGUCCACAGUUGCCAGCAUACCCCUCCGGGGUGAUGGGUACACUGUGGAGACCGCCGCUGCUAAAGCGGAGGAAGGAGUGGGCAACGGUAGGUCAGUAUGCCCCGAAUCUCCCGGGCUACACGCGGGCUACAAUGGUUGGUACAAUGGGCAUCUACCCCGAAAGGGGAAGGAAAUCUCUUAAAGCCAAUCGUAGUUCGGAUUGAGGGCUGCAACUCGCCCUCAUGAAGCUGGAAUCCGUAGUAAUCGCGUUUCAACAGAACGCGGUGAAUACGUCCCUGCUCCUU
rnacentral:rRNA from 1 species